rnacentral:rRNA from 1 species
CGUGCGUAGGCGGCUUGGUAGGUGAGAUGUGAAAGCCCACGGCUCAACCGUGGAAUUGCGUUUCACACCCCCAAGCUCGAGGAAGAUAGGGGUGAUGGGAACUUAUGGUGGAGCGGUGAAAUGCGUUGGUAUCAUAGGGAACACCGGUGGCGAAAGCGCAUCACUGGAUCUUUUCUGACGCUGAGGCACGAAAGCUAGGGUAGCGAACGGGAUUAGAUACCCCGGUAGUCCUAGCCGUAAACGAUGAACACUG